rnacentral:rRNA from 1 species
AACGUAGGAGGCAAGCGUUAUCCGGAGUUACUGGGCGUAAAGCGCGUGUAGGUGGGUUGGUAAGUUACUUAUAAAAGCCCCCGGCUAAACUGGGGGAGGUUGAGUGAUACUGCCAGUCUUGAAUAGAGGAGAGGUUGACGGAAUUCCGCGUGCAGUGGUGAAAUGCGUAGAGAUGCGGAAGAACACCAGUGGCGAAGGCGGUCAACUGGCCUCAUAUUGACACUCAGACGCGAAGGCAUGGGUAGCGAACGGG